GAAAGCGUAAUAGCUCACUGGUCGAGUCGGCCUGCGCGGAAGAUGUAACGGGGCUAAACCAUGCACCGAAGCUGCGGCAGCGACGCUGAUGCGUUGUUGGGUAGGGGAGCGUUCUGUAAGCCUGUGAAGGUGGCCUGUGAGGGUUGCUGGAGGUAUCAGAAGUGCGAAUGCUGACAUAAGUAACGAUAAAGCGGGUGAAAAGCCCGCUCGCCGGAAGACCAAGGGUUCCUGUCCAACGUUAAUCGGGGCAGGGUGAGUCGACCCCUAAGGCGAGGCCGAAAGGCGUAGUCGAUGGGAAACGGGUUAAUAUUCCCGUACUUGGUGUUACUGCGAAGGGGGGACGGAGAAGGCUAUGUUGGCCGGGCGACGGUUGUCCCGGUUUAAGCGUGUAGGUGUGUGUUCCAGGUAAAUCCGGUUCACUUUAACACUGAGGCGUGAUGACGAGGCACUACGGUGCUGAAGCAACAAAUGCCCUGCUUCCAGGAAAAGCCUCUAAGCAUCAGGUAACAUCAAAUCGUACCCCAAACCGACACAGGUGGUCAGGUAGAGAAUACCAAGGCGCUUGAGAGAACUCGGGUGAAGGAACUAGGCAAAAUGGUGCCGUAACUUCGGGAGAAGGCACGCUGACACGUAGGUGAAGUGAUUUACUCAUGGAGCUGAAGUCAGUCGAAGAUACCAGCUGGCUGCAACUGUUUAUUAAAAACACAGCACUGUGCAAACACGAAAGUGGACGUAUACGGUGUGACGCCUGCCCGGUGCCGGAAGGUUAAUUGAUGGGGUCAGCGCAAGCGAAGCUCCUGAUCGAAGCCCCGGUAAACGGCGGCCGUAACUAUAACGGUCCUAAGGUAGCGAAAUUCCUUGUCGGGUAAGUUCCGACCUGCACGAAUGGCGUAAUGAUGGCCAGGCUGUCUCCACCCGAGACUCAGUGAAAUUGAACUCGCUGUGAAGAUGCAGUGUACCCGCGGCAAGACGGAAAGACCCCGUGAACCUUUACUAUAGCUUGACACUGAACAUUGAGCCUUGAUGUGUAGGAUAGGUGGGAGGCUUUGAAGUGUGGACGCCAGUCUGCAUGGAGCCGACCUUGAAAUACCACCCUUUAAUGUUUGAUGUUCUAACGUGGACCCGUAAUCCGGGUUGCGGACAGUGUCUGGUGGGUAGUUUGACUGGGGCGGUCUCCUCCUAAAGAGUAACGGAGGAGCACGAAGGUUGGCUAAUCCUGGUCGGACAUCAGGAGGUUAGUGCAAUGGCAUAAGCCAGCUUGACUGCGAGCGUGACGGCGCGAGCAGGUGCGAAAGCAGGUCAUAGUGAUCCGGUGGUUCUGAAUGGAAGGGCCAUCGCUCAACGGAUAAAAGGUACUCCGGGGAUAACAGGCUGAUACCGCCCAAGAGUUCAUAUCGACGGCGGUGUUUGGCACCUCGAUGUCGGCUCAUCACAUCCUGGGGCUGAAGUAGGUCCCAAGGGUAUGGCUGUUCGCCAUUUAAAGUGGUACGCGAGCUGGGUUUAGAACGUCGUGAGACAGUUCGGUCCCUAUCUGCCGUGGGCGCUGGAGAACUGAGGGGGGCUGCUCCUAGUACGAGAGGACCGGAGUGGACGCAUCACUGGUGUUCGGGUUGUCAUGCCAAUGGCACUGCCCGGUAGCUAAAUGCGGAAGAGAUAAGUGCUGAAAGCAUCUAAGCACGAAACUUGCCCCGAGAUGAGUUCUCCCUGAGACUUUAAGUCUCCUGAAGGAACGUUGAAGACGACGACGUUGAUAGGCCGGGUGUGUAAGCGCAGCGAUGCGUUGAGCUAACCGGUACUAAUGAACCGUGAGGCUUAACC
rnacentral:rRNA from 1 species